GACGAACACUGGCGGCGUGCCUAAUACAUGCAAGUCGAGCGGACUUUCAAGAAGCUUGCUUUUUGAAAGUUAGCGGCGGACGGGUGAGUAACACGUGGGCAACCUGCCUGCAAGACGGGGAUAACUCCGGGAAACCGGGGCUAAUACCGGAUAAUAUCUUCCUUCGCAUGAAGGAAGGUUGAAAGGCGGCGCAAGCUGCUGCUUGCAGAUGGGCCCGCGGCGCAUUAGCUAGUUGGUGAGGUAACGGCUCACCAAGGCGACGAUGCGUAGCCGACCUGAGAGGGUGAUCGGCCACACUGGGACUGAGACACGGCCCAGACUCCUACGGGAGGCAGCAGUAGGGAAUCUUCCGCAAUGGACGAAAGGCUGACGGAGCAACGCCGCGUGAGCGAAGAAGGUCUUCGGAUCGGAAAGCUCUGUUGUCAGGGAAGAAAAAGUACCGUUCGAACAGGGCGGUACCUUGACGGUACCUGACCAGAAAGCCACGGCUAACUACGUG
rnacentral:rRNA from 1 species